AGAACCAAAACACACACUCAGCGGACAGAUGCAUCGAUUUUCAGGAGAGCUUUAGUGGAGUGUUGCAAGUCUGUCAGGAGGACUCGAGGCUAAUGGAGAACGCUGCAUUCUUGCCUCCACUGUAGCAGAGUAAUUUGUGUUUUCAUUAUGGUGGUGGGGGAGUGAAGCUGAGAAGUGAUAUGUCCGCACUCAACAGCCACCUUGUGCAGCUCUGUGGAAUGUAACCGUCUUACUUAUUGACCUCGGCUUGUAAAACAACAUGCAAAAAGCUGUUUGCCUCCUGUAGCUGUCUGUGAAGAAUGCUUCAAACUUUAGCCUCUUUUUCUCCCCGGCAGGCCAAGCAUGUCCUUCCUCAUUAUGUUCUUGUGUGAGCAAGGCCAAGGCAGCUGACACAGACCCAGUGUAAUCUCUUUAACCCGCCACUGUUAUGAGCAGACAAGGCGUGACCACCCAACACUCUGCUCCAUCUCACUUAGCCAAGGGAAUAGUUUUUCACUUCAUCACCUCACCCUCUUUGGGUUGUAGCUGCUUAUCAUCUAGGGAUGCACAUUUCAAACACAUUUGAUCAAGUAUGCUCAACACAUAAGUGCAUGCAAAAUGGUUCAGUUGCGCGCACACACACACACCCGGGGGUUAAUCAUUGUUACAACACCACUCAAUAUAAUUAUGUGCAGCAGUGUGCAGUUAAAAAUUCAUAUACUCACUGACCCUUGGAGCUCCUGUAAUUGACACAAGCAUUUUUUGCUGUGGUUAUUGACUAAUGAAGCUAAAAGCAAAUGAAAUUAUAUCACAGGAGAGGACAUUGGUGGAAGCAUUUUUAAAUGAACAUACAAUGAUUAUUAGCUCCUUGAAGUCAUUUCUUAGACAAAGACUCUUUACGUUUACUUAGCAGAUUAGGAGAAACAUUCAUAUUAAAACAUUUGGUAUAUGAUGCGUUAAAUGAAAAAUAAAAUACUAAAUUACUGUGAAUUAUAAGCUCCUAUCCACUGAAAGCUAAUUUCAAUUCAGUUUAAAUUAAGCAGAAAAUUUCGAUAAAUAUGGUUUUGCUUCUGAGCCACUGGGCGAGGCUGGAUUAAGCCAUCUAGUGUGCAACAUGAUCACUUCUGUGUUUGCUCAGGAACAAAGUCUGCUGCCCAAACUUUUGCAGCUGAAGCUCAGCUCACACUUGAGGCUCUAAUCAAUCUUGAUUUAUCCUAUCAUAUUGCAUCUCAUUUGUUGGUUUCAGAGGUUUGCUACAAAGUAGUUUUUCUAAACAUUAUGCACUCUGAAUAAUACCAAAUACUGUAUACGUGCAACAAAAGAGAACAGUUUAACUUAGGCCUCCAGAUGCUUUUUCUUUUGCACCAGCAUUAAAGUUAUGAUAUUCUGUCAGUAAGCAGAUGCCUGUUGCUUGGAAACUGCUGUCUAUGAAUGGCAUUAUCAAGCACCUCUAUAUGAUGAUCAUUUUAAAUACUGUUAUUGCCUGACUGGCUAAUUACAGCACUCAUUAUUUUCCAUGUAUCUUUUGAAUCAUUGCCAUGUUCAGUUUUUCCAAAAACAAUGGAAACUUUCUCCGGUUUUUGUUUGGAAGAAAGUGCUGAAUCGUCACUUUUUGCUUUGCGCCAUGCCCAAGCAAGCAGCUCUCUUUUGUUUUAGCCAUAAUUGAGAUCCCACUAAUCUAGCCUCUUUUAAAAAAUGAAACAGUCUCUUUGUCAAGCCUUCAUUAGUUUAAGAUAAUAUUGUGUGAAUGCACAAUUAAUUUCCAGUGCAACUUUAAUUAAUUAAAUACAACCAAUUUUGUAAUAUGAUUAAUGCCACCAAGUUGUUAUCUGUAUUCUCCUCCAAAAUGAAUAUGUAACAGCGAUACAGCACUGAGCAUUAAUUGGGGCUUUUAAGAACCCAAAAUUAGGUUAGGUAAUUAUAAGAGGUAAUUUAUUAAACCUUAAAUAAAGAAACAAACAAGCAUAAAUUGAUAUAUAAAUCAUGAGUACCAUUGUGUGUAAUCUAGCUGUGAUUUGGGAGAAAAUGACAAAUCUUUGUUGUGCAAAGCACUUGAUAAAGCAGAUAGUGGUCAUAAAUUUAGUCCCAGUCAAGGUCUCAUUAAAAGAGGCAUAAUUUAAUUAAGAGUUAGCCAUCGCCCUCUAAAUAUAUUAAUUACCUUGAGCAUGACGAGAUGAGUGCAGUGAUUAUUGCGUAUUUCAUUAGAGUAAGUCUUCUGGGAGAAGAGCAUACUAAGGUGGGAAGCUGACUGUGUUGACAAGAUAAUGGAUGGGCUGGUCUGAGAUGAAUUUGGUCACCUUGCCUUGGGUUGAGCUCAGAGAGGUGAGGCAGAGGACAACACAGGUCCCUGAGAAGGUGGGAUGUCUCCACUCAGUUUACUGGGACAUUUAGAGCUUUCAGAAAAUCAAGGACACUCACCAAGCUCUGACUGGUCCCAAGGCUGCUGCUGCUUCCCAAUCCCUCUGUUGGACACACCUUCAACAGCUGGCUGUCAGCAGGCCCAGGAGCAGCAGGACCAUGGACUCGAAGAUAGCAGUGACAUCCACAGCCCAGAGCCUCAGCCCACGGCCAGUAAGACGGGAGCACCCCCACCAUGAUAGCUCCCAGUGCAGCAGAGAAAUAUGUAAAGAGCGAGAGAGCCGGGCAGUCACUGGUGUGGUAGUGCACACUGAAGCUGAGCUCUCCCUGCUCUGGGACCCAUCUCAUUCAGCCAAGAUUGCUUCAUACAAAAGUUGACAAUACACCAGUGAAAGCCAUUGUUGAUAUUCAACAUUUUUUAAAUAGCUGAGCAGAAUAGACAACAUGGCAGGCUGCAAAACUUGGCAAGGGAAACUGACCUGGAUCCUCCCGUUUGAAAGGGUUUCCAUGCUGGGUGAGAGGAGAGAGGGCUAUUGUGUUAAAAAAAGAAAAAAAAAGAAAGAGGGAGAGCUGGUGUGAAAGAGCUCAAAAAAACAAAACAUCUCCCAUCCCGGGAGAGCAGAGUACAAUGCUUUCUAUGCAGCAGGAAGAGGACAAUCACCUCGCACGGUCACAAGCAUAUACCCAUUACCAAGAAAGAGCAGAACAUUGAAAUCAAUGCAAUCAGAUCCAUUUUAAAACAGGAUAUUAUAUUUCUGACUCUUGAACCGAACAAGGAAGCUCCAACCCCACAUAACACUCUGAUAGAGUUGUUUAAAAAUAAGCCUGAGAACACGUGUAUCACACCCAACAUUUAGGUCCAACAGUUAAAUAUUACAACCAACCAAAAACUAUAAUUCCAUUCAGUGCACUGGCUUGGCUAAUGUCCAGAGGUAUGUCUUCCAGAGAGCCAUCUAUUCCUCUAAUGUUGCACAGAUGAGGAUGAUACUGUGUGAUGCUGUUAAUGGUGUUCUGUUUCCGUCAUUGUCAAGCUGACAAGGGUGCAGAUUGAUAUGGAUAUUUAAGAAGCCUUUAAGCUUCCAUAUGUCAGAGCAUCACAGUGCUGCUCGUGCCUCAAAAGCUAUCAAAACAUCUAAUGUAGUGUAUGUGUCUCUGUGUCUGUGUAGCCCUGAGGCGGGUCCCAGUGUUGUGUUUCGUGCAUCCUCGUGCCUCUCAGUGGGCAGCAGGGUGGGAGGGAGGGAGGGCUUAAGUGAUGAAUGUUAAAAACCCCUGAAGGAAACAGCUGCAAUACCUGGGACCCUUCCCAUCCAGCACAACACAAAUCCAUUUAGUAACUUAUCACAAUACUGUAAACUCAAAGUAACUAAAAAUGCACUUAGCUACCUCAUAUUCUGAUUCCUGCAGAUUAAUCAAAGGUUGCAAUAAACCUACCAGCACUGCAAGUAAUGCAACAAAGGCAACAAAUGGCCAGUAGGUGUUGUCUUCCAAUUGCUUAUUUUGCCUGAUCAACAGUUAAAACACCCAAAGGGAUUCAGUUUAUAAUGAUAUGCAACAGAAAAAAGCUGCAAAUCCUCAGCCUUUUUAUUUGGUAAAAUUAUUCAUCAAUUAUUAAAAUAGUUUUUGAUUCGUUUUCUGUAAACUGACUAAUCGAUUAAACCUAUUUUUGUUGA